rnacentral:rRNA from 1 species
GAUGAACGCUAGCUACAGGCUUAACACAUGCAAGUCGCGGGGCAGCAUUUUCUUAGCUUGCUAAGGAAGAUGGCGACCGGCGCACGGGUGAGUAACGCGUAUCCAACCUUCCCAUGUCCACGGGAUAGCCCGUCGAAAGGCGGAUUAAUACCGUAUGAGGUCACAUGCGGGCAUCUAAGUGUGACGAAAGGUUUGGCGGACAUGGAUGGGGAUGCGUCCGAUUAGCUAGUUGGCGGGGUAACGGCCCACCAAGGCGACGAUCGGUAGGGGUUCUGAGAGGAAGGUCCCCCACAUUGGAACUGAGACACGGUCCAAACUCCUACGGGAGGCAGCAGUGAGGAAUAUUGGUCAAUGGACGUAAGUCUGAACCAGCCAAGUAGCGUGCAGGAUGACGGCCCUAUGGGUUGUAAACUGCUUUUAUGCGGGGAUAAAGUGUGGGACGUGUCCCAUAUUGCAGGUACUGCAUGAAUAAGGACCGGCUAAUUCCGUG